rnacentral:rRNA from 1 species
UGGGGAAUUGUUCGCAAUGGGCGCAAGCCUGACGACGCAACGCCGCGUGGAGGACGAAGAUCUUCGGGUCGUAAACUCCUGUCGAGUGGGAAGAAUGGUUCGGGGAUAAAUAUUCCCCGGAAUUGACGGUACCACUAAAGGAAGCCCCGGCUAACUCCGUGCCAGCAGCCGCGGUAAUACGGGGGGGGCAAGCGUUGUUCGGAAUUACUGGGCGUAAAGGGCUCGUAGGCGGCCAACUAAGUCAGACGUGAAAUCCCCAGGCUCAACCUGGGAACUGCGUCUGAUACUGGAUGGCUUGAAUCCGGGAGAGGGAUGCAGAAUUCCAGGUGUAGCGGUGAAAUGCGUAGAUAUCUGGAGGAAUACCGGUGGCGAAGGCGGCAUCCUGGACCGGCAUUGACGCUGAGGAGCGAAAGCUAGGGGAGCAAACGGGAUUAGAUACCCCCGUAGUCC